GAUGAAGAACGCAGCGAAAUGCGAUACGUAGUGUGAAUUGCAGAAUUCAGUGAAUCAUCGAAUCUUUGAACGCACAUUGCACCUCUCGGUAUUCCGGGAGGUAUGCCUGUUCGAGCGUCAUUUGUACCCUCAAGCUCUGCUUGGUGUUGGGUGUUUGUUCCGCCUCUGUGUGUGAACUCGCCUCAAAACAAUUGGCAGCCGGCGUAGUUGUUUCGGAGCGCAGCACAUUUUGCGAUCCAGAUCAACGUACAGCGGCAUCCAAGAAGCCUUAUUUAACGCUCUUGACCUCGGAUCAGGUAGGGAUACCCGCUGAACUUAAGCAUAUCAAUAAGCGGAGGA
rnacentral:misc_RNA from 1 species